rfam:Human gut metagenome DNA, contig sequence: F1-T_013885.
AAAAUCCUGUCAAAUAAGCGGCUAACCACAGCAUUUGAAGUGAGUCUUGGGUGUGUCGCAGUAAUGCGGCGUGUUAAGCGUAGACAGCAAGGUAGUGGGGAUAGCUAUUGAACAUCGAAAUACCAACAAACCAGAGCGUCGACUCUGUUGCCUGAGGAGAAGACAACAUGUGGGUUUAUCGUUAAGGUGAGAUUUCACACAGUUCUGCGGUGUCGGAAGGAA